GCCGGCGUAGCUCAGUGGUAGAGCAACGGUUUCGUAAACCGUAGGUCGCGGGUUCAAUCCCCGCCGCCGGCU
rnacentral:tRNA from 1 species